rnacentral:rRNA from 1 species
UAGGAAAUCUUCCACAAUGGACGCAAGUCUGAUGGAGCAACGCCGCGUGAGUGAAGAAGGUUUUCGGAUCGUAAAGCUCUGUUGUUGGUGAAGAAGGAUAGAGGCAGUAACUGGUCUUUAUUUGACGGUAAUCAACCAGAAAGUCACGGCUAACUACGUGCCAGCAGCCGCGGUAAUACGUAGGUGGCAAGCGUUGUCCGGAUUUAUUGGGCGUAAAGCGAGCGCAGGCGGAAUGAUAAGUCUGAUGUGAAAGCCCACGGCUCAACCGUGGAACUGCAUCGGAAACUGUCAUUCUUUAGUGCAGAAGAGGAGAGUGGAAUUCCAUGUGUAGCGGUGGAAUGCGUAGAUAUAUGGAAGAACACCAGUGGCGACGGCGGCUCUCUGGUCUGCAACUGACGCUGAGGCUCGAAAGCAUGGGUAGCGAACAGG